rnacentral:misc_RNA from 1 species
CUGCGAGUUCGCGGGAGAGUAAGUUAUUGCCAGGGUUCUUAUUUUAUACUUUAAACAUUGAUUUUAUUUUUAUGUUUUUAGAUGUUCAUGUUUUUGAAUGUUUUAUUCAAAUAAUAUAAAAAAUAAAAUAUAUAUUGACAUGGAUUAAACAAAGAUAUAUAUUAUUCUAUGUUGUAUAAACAAAUUGGCAAAAUAGAGAUGGGAGAUAAAAAUAUGGUCAAAGUAAUAAGAGUCUAUGGUGAAUGCCUAGGA